rnacentral:misc_RNA from 1 species
AAGAAAACUGGAUUGAAAGCAGGGAAAAACAGAGCAUGCAUGUGGACUUCUGUUCUAGUAGAACAGCCACUUUUUUUUUUUAAUUAAUUUUCAAACUCCAGCAGUCUUAAAUCACAUGAGACAGUCUGUUUUGACUUCCAAGCAGCCGCAGGAAUUGAUUUUAUUUAUUUUAGGGAUUCUUCUCAUAGUUAUUAGAGGCGCG